AGAAAGAUGAGUUGGAUAUAUACUCUAAUCCAACCUUUAAGCCUCCCUAAAUUUAGCUUUAUUUGGUGGCUGGGCAUCAACAUCAUUGCAUGCUCAAAAUUUGGGACAAAGCAAUUUAGAUCUUGAGAAAUGAUAGUCUCUAUUUGUUCUCCUCUAUCAGGCACCAUGACAAGGUCAUAAAUACAACAUUUCUCUUAAAAACCCAAAUGUCACUCUGCUGCUCGAAGUAAUCCAGUUAAUCAGUAGAAGUAGACAAUGUUGUUGAUGGGCAAU
rnacentral:misc_RNA from 1 species